rnacentral:rRNA from 1 species
CUUACCGGACGAGCUCAUGGCCACGGCCUGGGAGGUGGGGAGGGGAAACGGGGGGCCUUCCGCCGGAGUGGGGUCUCGGCCGGAGUAGGCAGUCGGCCGCCAGAGUGGGGCGUCGGCUGCUGCUGGAGACAGGGAGCGGGCGGCGCGAUAGGGAGGAGCAGGGCGGUAGAUGGGGACUACCCGCCGGCCAUGCAGAUUCGCCGGAGAGAGCCGCGGCGAGGAGCAGCGCAGAAGGGGACCGGCGGCGGCGGAGGCUUGCUGCGGAGGGCAGGGUGGGGUUCGCGUGUUUUUUCUUCGGC